UACGUAGGGCGCGAGCGUUGUCCGGAAUCACUGGGCGUAAAGGGCUCGUAGGCGGUCCGUCGCGUCGGCUGUGAAAUACCGGAGCUCAACUCCGGACCCGCAGUCGAUACGGGCGGACUAGAGGGCGGCAGGGGCGAGUGGAAUUCCCGGUGUAGCGGUGAAAUGCGCAGAUAUCGGGAGGAACACCGAUGGCGAAGGCAGCUCGCUGGGCCGUUCCUGACGCUGAGGAGCGAAAGCGUGGGGAGCGAACAGG
rnacentral:rRNA from 1 species